AGGGUCAACAACACUGAGAAUACUUGCAACAGAUGCCUAACUUCAACAAAAGAAGCAAAUGUUUUAGACAAUUCAAGCAGCCAGUUGGUUAAUUCACAAGCCAAAGCUUUGAAGAGGCUGGUGAAGUUACAUUAUAACCGAUGUCUACCACGAGUGUCAAUGAUAGCAGUCAAAGUGGGUUAAGGUUUGUGAAUGUUAGAUGCAAAUGUCCUGAACCCAAAAAGGCAUUGGUGCGAAUUUCAGAGUCUAGUUCGCACCCAAAUAUGUUGUACUACUGCUGCCCUGAAGCACCAAGAGGUUGUCGAUACUUCUCAUGGUGUGAACCUAUAGCUGCACCAAGACU